rnacentral:rRNA from 1 species
GACAGAGGGGGCAAGCGUUGCUCGGAAUCACUGGGCGUAAAGGGCGCGUAGGCGGGAUGGCAAGUCGGUCGUGAAAUCCUUCGGCUCAACCGAAGAACGUCGGCCGAUACUGCUGUUCUUGAGGGAUGCAGAGGAGAUUGGAAUUCCCGGUGUAGCGGUGAAAUGUGUAGAGAUCGGGAGGAACACCGGUGGCGAAGGCGGGUUUCUGGCUGAUUACUGAGCUGAGGUGCGAAAGCUAGGGGAGCGAACGGGAUUGAGAAACCCCGGUAGGUC